CACAUGCAAGUCGAGGGGCAGCAGAUCAUUUCGGUGAUGCUGGCGACCGGCGCACGGGUGAGUAUCGCGUAUGUAACCUACCCUUAACUGGAAGAUAGCCCCCGGAAACGGGGAUUAAUAUUCCAUGAUAUUUCAAAGAGGCAUCUCUUUGUUCUUAAAGCUCCGGCGGUUAAGGAUGGGCAUGCGUGACAUUAGUUAGUUGGUGAGGUAACGGCUUACCAAGACUACGAUGUCUAGGGGGUCUGAGAGGAUGAUCCCCCACACUGGUACUGAGACACGGACCAGACUCCUACGGGAGGCAGCAGUGAGGAAUAUUGGUCAAUGGACGCAAGUCUGAACCAGCCAUGCCGCGUGCAGGAUGACGGCCCUAUGGGUUGUAAACUGCUUUUAUACAGGAAGAAACCCCCCGACGUGUCGGGGGCUGACGGUACUGUAAGAAUAAGCAUCGGCUAACUCCGUGCCAGCAGCCGCGGUAAUACGGAGGAUGCAAGCGUUAUCCGGAUUUAUUGGGUUUAAAGGGUGCGCAGGCGGGGCAGUAAGUCAGUGGUGAAAUCCUGCGGCUUAACCGUAGAAUUGCCAUUGAUACUGUUGUCCUUGAGUGUAGUUGAGGUAGGCGGAAUAUGUAAUGUAGCGGUGAAAUGCAUAGAUAUUACAUAGAACACCAAUUGCGAAGGCAGCUUACUAAACUAUUACUGACGCUGAGGCACGAAAGCGUGGGGAGCAAACAGGAUUAGAUACCCUGGUAGUCCACGCUGUAAACGAUGAUCACUUCGUUGUUGGCAAUACCACCGUCAGCGACUGAGCGAAAGCAUUAAGUGAUCCACCUGGGGAGUACGGUCGCAAGAUUGAACUUCCCGGGAAUUGACGGGGGCCCGCACAAGCGGAGGAACAUGUGGUUUAAUUCGAUGAUACGCGAGGAACCUUACCUGGGCUUAAAUGCAAAGCGACGCCCCGGGAAACCGGGGUUCCCUUCGGGGCGAAUUGCAAGGUGCUGCAUGGCUGUCGUCAGCUCGUGCCGUGAGGUGUCGGGUUAAGUCCCAUAACGAGCGCAACCCCUAUCGUUAGUUGCCAGCGGGUAAUGCCGGGGACUCUAACGAAACUGCCUAGUGUAAACUGCGAGGAAGGUGGGGAUGACGUCAAGUCAGCACGGCCAUUAUGUCCAGGGCUACACACGUGUUACAAUGGCCGGUACAGAGGCUAGCUACCUGGAGACAGGAUGCAAAUCUCCAAAACCGGUCUCAGUUCGGAUCGAAGUCUGCAACUCGACUUCGUGAAGGUGGAUUCGCUAGUAAUCGCGCAUCAGCCA
rnacentral:rRNA from 1 species